rnacentral:pre_miRNA from 1 species
CUCACCUGUGGAUCUUGUUAAAGUGCAGAUUCUGGUUCAGUAGGUCUAGGUGGGGCCCGAGAGUCUGCGUUUUGAACAAGUUCCCAGGUGAUGUGAU